rnacentral:rRNA from 1 species
AUGUUCCAGGAGCUUGCACCAGACAAUCCAGAUGACAAGUGUGGUCACCACUACACGAUUUGCCUUGACCUGAAGAACCAACGAUUUGAGGUGCUUGAUUCAAUGCAUUCAGAAGCUGAUGAAGACCUUACUACACAUGCUGAAUUCUUCAUCAAAAACCUCAAAGAGACAUGGAACCAUCACUAUGAAAACUCAAAGGUCCAGAUCAGACAUUUUCCAAUCGAGUAUGUCGCGACUAUGAAGCAAGGAAACCGCAUGAUUGUGGCUUUCACACAUUGGAAUACCUUGCAAAGUGGGAAGGUCGACGGGUCCCUGUCGUCAUAG